rnacentral:rRNA from 1 species
AGCAGCCGCGGUAAUUCCAGCUCCAAUAGCGUAUAUUAAAGUUGUUGCAGUUAAAAAGCUCGUAGUUGAAUUUCGGGGUUAGUAGGUUGGUCAUGCCUCUGGUAUGUACUGGUCUCACUGAUUCCUCCUUCCUUAUGAACCGUAAUGCCAUUAAUUUGGCGUUGCGGGGAAUUUGGACUGUUACUUUGAAAAAAUUAGAGUGUUUAAAGCAGGCUAACGCUUGAAUACAUUAGCAUGGAAUAAUGAAAUAGGACGUUCGAUCUUAUUUUGUUGGUUUCUAAGAUUGACGUAAUGAUUAAUAGGGAUAGUUGGGGGCAUUAGUAUUCAAUUGUCAGAGGUGAAAUUCUUGGAUUUAUUGAAGACUAACUACUGCGAAAGCAUUUGCCAAGGAUGUUUUCAUUAAUCAAGAACGAAAGUUAGGGGAUCGAAGACGAUCAGAUACCGUCGUAGUCUUAACCAUAAACUAUGCCGACUAGGGAUCGGAUGAUGUUAAUUUUUUAAUGACUCA